rnacentral:misc_RNA from 1 species
UCUCCGUUGGUGAACCAGCGGAGGGAUCAUUACCGAGUUUACAACCCCCAAACCCAAUGUGAACCAUACCAAACUGUUGCCUCGGCGGGGUCACGCCCCGGGUGCGUCGCAGCCCCGGAACCAGGCGCCCGCCGGAGGGACCAACCAAACUCUUUCUGUAGUCCCCUCGCGGACGUUAUUUUUACAGCUCUGAGCAAAAAUUCAAAAUGAAUCAAAACUUUCAACAACGGAUCUCUUGGUUCUG